rnacentral:rRNA from 1 species
CAAGGCUUGACAUGAACCGGAAAGACCUGGAAACAGGUGCCCCGCUUGCGGUCGGUUUACAGGUGGUGCAUGGUUGUCGUCAGCUCGUGUCGUGAGAUGUUGGGUUAAGUCCCGCAACGAGCGCAACCCUCGUUCUAUGUUGCCAGCGGUUCGGCCGGGGACUCAUAGGAGACUGCCGGGGUCAACUCGGAGGAAGGUGGGGACGACGUCAAAUCAUCAUGCCCCUUAUGUCUUGGGCUUCACGCAUGCUACAAUGGCCGGUACAAAGGGUUGCGAUACUGUGAGGUGGAGCUAAUCCCAAAAAGCCGGUCUCAGUUCGGAUUGGGGUCUGCAACUCGACCCCAUGAAGUCGGAGUCGCUAGUAAUCGCAGAUCAGCAACGCUGCGGUGAAUACGUUCCC